rnacentral:rRNA from 1 species
ACUCCUACGGGAGGCAGCAGUGGGAAUAUUGCACAAUGGGGAAACCCGUAGCAUGCAGCCAUGCCGCGUGUGUGAAGAAGGCCUUCGGGUUGUAAAGCACUUUCAGUAGGGAGGAAGGUAGUGUAGUUAACACCUGCAUUAUUUGACGUUACCUACAGAAGAAGCACCGGCUAACUCCGUGCCAGCAGCCGCGGUAAUACGGAGGGUGCGAGCGUUAUCCGGAUUUAUUGGGUUUAAAGGGUCCGUAGGCGGAUUAAUAAGUCAGUGGUGAAAUCCCAUCGCUUAACGAUGGAACUGCCAUUAUACUGUUAGUCUUGAAUGAGGGUGCAGUGGUUGGAAUGUGUAGUGUAGCGGUGAAAUGCAUAGAUAUUACACAGAACACCGAUUGCGAAGGCAGAUCACUAA